ACAGAUCGUUCAGAGUUUGAUCCUGGCUCAGGAUGAACGCUGGCGGCGUGCUUAACACAUGCAAGUCGAACGCUGAAGCUCCCAGCUUGCUGGGGGUGGAUGAGUGGCGAACGGGUGAGUAUCACGUGAGGAACCUGCCCUGAACUGUGGGAUAAGCCUGGGAAACUGGGUCUAAUACUACAUAGGACGCUCCAUCGCAUGGUGGGGUGUGGAAAGCUUUUGCGGUUUGGGAUGGUCUCGCGGCCUAUCAGCUUGUUGGUGGGGUAAUGGCCUACCAAGGCUUUGACGGGUAGCCGGCCUGAGAGGGUGACCGGCCACACUGGGACUGAGACACGGCCCAG
rnacentral:rRNA from 1 species